GCGGUUGUCGUCUAGCCUGGUUUGGACGUCAGCUUCCCAAGCUGAAGGCCGCGGGUUCAAAUCCCGCCAACCGCA
rnacentral:tRNA from 1 species